rnacentral:rRNA from 1 species
AUGCUUGUUUUGACCAUUGGAAUUUUCAAAGACCACCGCCGCAAGAACAUGUCACUGGAUGCUCAAGAUACAAGGCCCAGCUGGAAGAGACAUCUUCCCAAGGGCUGGUUAUCCAAUUCUAAAAGAGGAGCUUGCUAUGGCCAUCCAGGGUCCAGGGCGAUUACAUACGCGGCGAAUGCAGAUGCAUAUGGUAAGCUCCGUGUCGACAUGACGAACCAACACCAGUUGGGAGCCCGGAUGAAGAAGGUUGCCGAUGGGAGAAAGAGGAGAAGCGAUGGGAUGUUUAUGGCAGCUUAUGGAUGA